GGUAGACACACCCGUGCUCCUAUUAACCUAGAGCACAUUGAGUAGACACAUCAAUGCUCCUACCAAGUUCAAACCAUUUAUUUUAUUAAGAAAUUGGAAUGAGUGAGACCUUCCUUACAGCCCCCAAAUCUAGUCGCUCAUAACUGUCCGUAACCGGGGACACGGCUAAAUACUUAGUUUGACACUCUCGAGAGGUUGUACACAUUCCCCACAAGAAUUCGACGUGUUAAUCCCUUGUUGUCCUCAGGGUAGAGUAGCAACGGCUUCGACUUCAAGAAUUUUCAGAACAUAAUCCCCCAGACCACCUAAGGGACCCGCGCUCCCACCUACACAGCUACCUCAUUACAAUCCCUCGGAUCUGGGUUCAUAUUUCUUACUUGGUCCGGCCAGAGCCCAUAUUAGCAUGUUGAAGCGACCGCCCCCGUAUAGGGUUCGAUCUCUGUGCUUAUAGUGCUAGUCCCUGGAUCGACUUGCUAGCACACACAGUUUCAAGAUGUAAUAUCAAGAUACAAAGGUCAAAAGUAUAUUACAUCGCAUUGAUCCAGAAUUUAGUAUUAACUUACAUAUUGCAUAACCUCAUGGGUUAUCUCAAAAAAAAAAAAUCUUGCAGCGAAAGGCAGAAGAUAUAGGAGUCCCAUAACAACUCCACAGUCGAAACAUGUUGCAAUGUGAACUGACAACCCUAACACUUUGUACCUCACUAUUCACCUGGUUCAUCUGCAACAUUUAAACGUUGCAGCCACUAGGAGGUCAAUACAUUGAAUGUAUUGGCAAGUUCACUAGAAGUUAUAAAAGGACCUACCAAGUACAUGCAUAUUUUGGCUAGGUGGGGUUUGGCUACUUGCAUAAAAGCAUCAAUAUUUCAUCCAAUCAUUUUUAACCAAAUAGUUUUAUUUCUAUUGGACACGGGGUAGAAACACCCAUGCUCCUAUUAACCUAGAGCACAAUUGAGU
rnacentral:lncRNA from 1 species